rnacentral:rRNA from 1 species
AAAAAGGCCUUCGGGUUUUGAAACCGCUUUUGUCGGGGAAGAAAUGCUCUGGGCUAAUACCCUGGGGAGAUGACGGUACCCGAAGAAUAAGCACCGGCUAACUACGUGCCAGCAGCCGCGGUAAUACGUAGGGUGCGAGCGUUAAUCGGAAUUACUGGGCGUAAAGCGUGCGCAGGCGGUUGUGUAAGACAGAUGUGAAAUCCCCGGGCUCAACCUGGGAACUGCAUUUGUGACUGCACGGCUGGAGUGCGGCAGAGGGGGAUGGAAUUCCGCGUGUAGCAUGAAAUGCGUAGAUAUGCGGAGGAACACCGAUGGCGAAGGCAAUCCCCUGGGCCUGCACUGACGCUCAUGCACGAAAGCGUGGGGAGCAAACAGGAUUAGAUACCCUGGUAGUCCACGCCCUAAACGAUGUCAACUGGUUGUUGGGAGGGUUUCUUCUCAGUAACGAAGCUAACGCGUGAAGUUGACCGCCUGGGGAGUACGGCCGCAAGGUUGAAACUCAA